UGUAGGCGCUGGCUUGCCUGCGAUGGCAUCGGCGCGGUGUCACUGAUACACCGCGUCGUCUGCAUCGCAGGCAAGCCAGCGCCUACA
rnacentral:misc_RNA from 1 species